CUCUUCUUCUUUUUCUUCUCUCGUAUCUUUCUCUAUUUGAUCAACUAAUUAAAUCUAAACAUAACCAAAAAUAAAUCCCAUCUAACAGUAAUUCCAUUCUCCAUAGCUAAACGCUCGAGAUCAUAUUACAACUUGGUCUUAUCAUCAAACCCAUUAAAAUUCUUUGCAGAUUUCAAGGCAUUCCCCCAAAUCUUUUUUGUAUAUAAAUCAAAUCGAAGCCUGAAAUCAUCUUGUCCAGAAGUCGAUGAGAUGUAGCCGGAAACGCUUACCGGACGAGGGCUCUAGUCCUAAGCAAUCUCCCAUUAAUCUGAAAUCAAGCAACAGUCAGACAAUAUCAAGUAUCAUCCAAUUAAUCAAGCAAAAAAUAAAUGUUCUUCAUAUUGUGUGAAGAGAAAUUAGAAAAC
rnacentral:lncRNA from 1 species